UCAUUCCUAACCCAGUUCUAGUAGCAAGCCAAAUUGUCCCAGGGAGGCUGGGUGCUGUCAGCCUGGCACAGCAGCUCUCCGUCUCGACAUCCCUACGGGUGUACGCUGCCACAGGAGACAGAGGACAACGUGAAGGGCCUGGAUGCCUCAGACAUGAGAUUCCUGUAGAGAGAGCGUCCCAGGUCUGUGUGUCUACGUACUUUGCGCUGCAGGGAAAGAGAGAACUGGAAAGUGUUUGACGGGCUGAAAUCCCAUCACUACCCAACAUGUGUGCCAGCUACAUGCCUGCCCAGAGGAAGCCCUCCCCAGGGCGGCCAGAGGCCCCAUGUGAAACCUCCUUUGGGGUUCUGUUUAUAAUUCAGAGGUGAGGUUUUGACAGACCUAAAUACCUACCAAGGGGAAAGGGGCCAACUAAAUUCUGCCGCUGUUCUCCAGGCAGCGCCGUGUGCCACUUAGAAGGAAGAGAAUUCUCUUCAUCUUUAAGUGGGGCAUUAGAUCCUCUGGAAUUGGAGUUGCAGGUGGCUGUGAACCACUCAACGUGGGUGCUGGGAUCUGAACCCAGGUCCACAUUCACAGGCAUGUGCCAUGGCAGAUGUACGGGGGUCACUUGUGGGCUCUAUAGCUCAGACUCAAGCUUGUUAGCUUGGUGACAGGUGCUUUUUCCCUCCGAGUCACCUCUCCAGCCUGAGGUUAAUUCUUUUUUAGCUAAUCCGGUGUGACAUCACUAAUCCAGUGUGACAUCACUAAUCCAGUGUGACAUCACUAAUCUGGGUGUGACAUCAGGAUGUUAAGAAAUAAAGUAAGCUGCGGAUCUAUGGAGUUUGGCCCUCUGUGGGGCAAUAGUCUAAUAUAGCUGUGUGUCUUUUAUAAUGAGGAUAUAAAUAAAAUAAAAUACAAAUUAAAAACACAGUGCAAAACCCCCUAGGUCCAUUCGUGUAAAUACAUACACAUACACCUUGCUGGAAGGUUAUUUUUGAGGAAGACUUUAGCCUAAUCUUCAGUUUAAUUUUCUAACAAAGAAUUGUGUCACCUGUCCCAGUAAGAGCAGAAACAGGAGGCAUCUAUGACUAUAUUUAUUUCCUGGCUUUUCUAAAAAGCUAGUAAGAUCUAAAGCUAACCAGGUAGAGUUAGACAGAGAAGAGCAUUGAAAGUGUGCCAGCGUCCCUGGAUGUGCAGACAGAGCACUGAUAAGUCAGCUCAGCGUAACCUCUGAGCUCCCAGGCAGCCAGAGCGACAAGGGAGACACACUGUAAAUCGUAUGCUGUUUUCUGUGAAAUGAAGAAUGCAUCCAGUUCCUUCUGAGAGACAAAGCUUUUAGACUGAAACUACAUUAGAAAAAUAACUAAUUACUCAUGAGGGAAUUUUAUGGAGGGGGUGGUUUUAAGGUGACGCUCUUCCUCAAGUUUAGAGGAAUGUCCCACACGUUCCCCCAUCCACACUUCUGUUUUAUUUUGUGUCUUGCUGCAGGGUGUCUGUAGCCCCUGGAACCUGAUAUGUCAGAGGCUGGCCUUGAACUUCUGAUCCUCCUGCUUCCCCUACUCACAUGUGGGGAUAAACAGACGAGCCCCUCAUCUGCAUCCCGACAUUCUUUGCAGGUUGAACUGCUUGUGGUACCUUGAACAAGCCCAGCCUGCUCCCUUCGUGGGAUGCUGUUGUUUGUGUCCAGACUACUUCUCAUGGUUAAGCCACGACUGUCACAGGGAAGAGGGCUUCUGGGGCUGAGUCCUGGGCCUAGAGGAAGUUACCCUUGACAGAUAUGAAGAAUGCUGCCUUUCCCAGAACAACAUGCCUUCCCAUUGGCUUAGGUCUGCUGAUGGACCUCGGUGGUGGUGGGGAGCAGAUAAGGCUUAAUUCUGUGACUGACCUGACAGGGGCUUGUCUCUGAGAGGCUGUGGAGGCCUCAGACUGCCCGAGAGGUCUACUGGAGCCAGAGUCAGUCUCCUCCCAGCCCAGCGCCUCUGUAACCUGCUCCAGGGCCACAUCAUGUGACACAGGCUGACUGUACCACUGUGUGCUCUUCCUGUAGAGCAGAGAGCUGGGCUCCAGCCUCAGGCCACUGUAGCCGCCGGUCUGCAUGCUCCACUGGCUCUGGUUUCCCGCAGGGCGUGGUGUCAGGGUGAGUUUGCUGUUACACAUCUGUCCACUGGAGUGUCACCUCCAAGAAGCUCUCCUUUACUGCUUAUCAGAAUAGUGCUGCCACCCUGCCCUUACUGCCUCUAAGUCUCCCACAGCAGCCACCUCAGGCUAAUGUAUGCCUGGUUUAGUUUCUGGUCCCUUAAAAAAUUACCACUGUGGAUGUAACUCAGUUGGCAGAGUGCUUGCCUAGCUUGCCCAAAUCUGGGUAAGCUAGGUGUCAUACCUGAUCCAGACUUAAAUCCCAGCACUCAGGAGGUAGAAGCCAGAGAGAGUUCAAGGCCAGCCUGGGCUACAGACCCUGUCUCAAAAAAUAAUUGUACAGUUCUGCUUGCUUCUCCUUCAUCUUUCUUAUCCCAUAGUAGGACCAGCCCUGACACAUAGUAGGUACUCAUCAAGAAUUACUUGAAUUCAGUUAAUGACUGAAGCUAUAUUAACAUACAAUAUAAAGGAAAUUGGAGACUGACAUUUGAUAUUCCUAAAUAUGCACUCUCAAAUCUGCUUUGUCCCAUGCUUGCCAAUUCGAGGAUGAAGUCGGUUCUAGAACCAUCCACUGGACCUUGUAUUUCAAGGAACAAACCACUGAUGAGAACCCGUUGCUGCAGACGUGGAAUACAGGAAGGAGGCCUGUCCUGCUCUGGGUGGCCCUCUGGAGAGUCAUACAGAAGGGGUGUGCAGAGGACCUGCCUAAGCACCUCCCCCAUGGCAGGCGCUGCCUGGGCUGGGCAUUUCGUCCUCAGGAUGACACAAUUGUCAUCCCUUUGCACUGUUAUGUAAACUGAGGCAGGGGGAGGCUGAGGACCUGGCUGGAGGCUGUACAGCUGGCAAGUGUCCCAGCUGAGAGCUGACCCCAGUGUGAUGUCAGAGUCAGCCGUCACCGCCAGCUGUUGCCAGGCAGGUGCCCGAGAAUCACAGAAAAACAGAUGCCACAAGGCAGGUUUCUUUAAUAUCUUUUUGGUAUUUUAUUCUGAAAUGAAUGGCUCAGGUUACUACGAAGACAAUGCCGAUGCCUUGCAUCUCUGGCAAUCCUCACACCCAGUAUCCUCCACGUGGAUACCUCCUUCCUGUGUUGGCACCACGGCACUUAUGUAGACAUCACUGGCAUAAUAUUUGGAGACCGCUACGGAGGCAGGUUUGCUAGGGGAAGUACAUUUAGAGUCCCCCACCCUUUCAGCGGGGAUGGGGAGAACAGCAUCCGGUAUAGCCAGACUGACCUCAGACUGCUGGCACGUGAGGAGAAGAGAGUUUCUAACCCUCUCGUCUCCACUCCUCCCCUGUUCUGGUGUCACAGCACAAGUUACCACAUGUGGUUUAUCUUGUGUGGGGGAUCAAGGCCAGGCUGCCUGUAUGCCAGGCAAGCACUCCACAACUGAGCCAGAUCCCCAGGCCACAGUCUCUAGGCUAAUGCAGAGAUAAGAGGAAGACAGAUGGGGGAGGGGGGCAUUCCGAAGGACGUCAGCUCCCAUCACAGUCAUCAGCUUGGCAUCACCAAAUAUCAAAGGUGGCUUCCAAGACUCCUUCGAGGCCUUUUCCUUCUUUGUCCUUGUGCUCCUUGUCAUUGAAGUUCUGCUAGCAAGGUGACCGUGGAGACCCCUGGAUGGCAGCAAGCUGACCGUGGAGACCCCUGGACGGCAAGCUGACUGUGGAGACCCCUGGGUGGCAAGGUGACUGCGGAGACCCCUGGGUGGCAAGGUGACUGUGGAGACCCCUGGACGGCAGCAAGCUGACCGUGGAGACCCCUGGAUGGCAGCAAGCUGACCGUGGAGACCCCUGGACGGCAAGUUGACUGUGGAGACCCUGGAUGGCAAGCUGACUGUGGAGACCCCUGGGUGGCAAGGUGACUGUGGAGACCCCUGGACGGCAGCAAGCUGACCGUGGAGACCCCUGGACGGCAAGUUGACUGUGGAGACCCCAAGAUGGCAAGCUGACUGCGGAGACCCCUGGGUGGCAAGGAAAGAAAACGGAGCUGACUUCAGCUGGCAACGGGAGAGAGUCAAAGGCUGCUCGGGAACCCCAAGUUUCAAAAGGCCAGGUCUCUCUCGGAUGCCGACGCCUCGAAACAACGACAUCGUGGUGUUUCCAACACACUGGCUCAUUGCACUCUCAUACAAGGAAAACUUAUUUUAUUUUUUUCAGACGAGAUCUCACUGUGUAGCCCUCGUUACAUAUGGAACCUGGAACUUACCAUGUAGACCAGGCUACUCUCAAACUCAGAUCUACCUGCCUCCUAAGUCCUAGAAUUAAAGGCUUGUUCUACCACUCCUGACUCAGAAAACUGACUUCUACAAAAGACUCCUAAGUCCCUUUUCUUUAUGUGACAGUAGUAGGUUAGUCUGACAAGCUGCCCUCUGUUGUCACUGACUCCUAAAAUGCAUCUAGCCACUUAGACAUCUUGGACAUCUGUCUCCACGGUUUGAGGCCUUAAAUAUAUUGUCUUUACUGAC